AUUGAACGCUGGCGGCAGGCCUAACACAUGCAAGUCGAGCGGAUGAAGGGAGCUUGCUCCUGGAUUCAGCGGCGGACGGGCGAGUAAUGCCUAGGAAUCUGCCUGGUAGUGGGGGAUAACGUCCGGAAACGGGCGCUAAUACCGCAUACGUCCUGAGGGAGAAAGUGGGGGAUCUUCGGACCUCACGCUAUCAGAUGAGCCUAGGUCGGAUUAGCUAGUUGGUGGGGUAAAGGCCUACCAAGGCGACGAUCCGUAACUGGUCUGAGAGGAUGAUCAGUAACAUGGAAAUGAAGAACGGUUCAGGCCUCCAAGGGAGGCAAGCGGUGGGAAAUAUUGAACAAGGGGCGAAGGCCUAAUCCGGCCAGGCGGCUGUGGUGAGGAAGUUCUUCGAUUUGUAAAGCACUUUAGGUGGGAGGAAGGGCAGUAAGUUAAUACCUUGCUGUUUUGACGUUACCAACAGAAUAAGCACCGGCUAACUUCGUG
rnacentral:rRNA from 1 species